UACGUAGGGUGCAGGCGUUAAUCGGAAUUACUGGGCGUAAAGCGUGCGCAGGCGGUUUGCUAAGACAGGUGUGAAAUCCCCGGGCUUAACCUGGGAACUGCGCUUGUUACUGGCAGGCUUGAGUGUGGCAGAGGGGGGUGGAAUUCCACGUGUAGCAGUGAAAUGCGUAGAGAUGUGGAGGAAUACCGAUGGCGAAGGCAGCCCCCUGGGCCAAUACUGACGCUCAUGCACGAAAGCGUGGGGAGCAAACAGG
rnacentral:rRNA from 1 species